rnacentral:misc_RNA from 1 species
GAAAUGCGAUAAGUAAUGUGAAUUGCAGAAUUCAGUGAAUCAUCGAAUCUUUGAACGCACCUUGCGCUCCUUGGUAUUCCUUGGAGCAUGCCUGUUUGAGUAUCAUGAAAUCUUCAAAGUAAAUCUUUUGUUAACUCAAUUGGUUUCUACUUUGGUAUUGGAGGUCUUUGCAGCUUCACACCUGCUCCUCUUUGUUCAUUACCUGGAUCUCAGUGUUAUGCUUGGUUCCACUCGGCGUGAUAAGUUAUCUAUCGCUGAGGACACUGUAAAAGGUGGCCAAGGUAAAUGCAGAUGAACCGCUUCUAAUAGUCCAUUGACUUGGACAAUACUUUUAUGAUCUGAUCUCAAAUCAGGUAGGACUACCCGCUGAACUUAAGC